rnacentral:lncRNA from 1 species
CCGUGGGCACCCAUGGCCUGCUGCCCCCAACAGCCGCACCACGGGGCAAGACCCCGGGCCCUGGAGCCCCAGCAGGAAGCAGCCCUUGGAGGCUGUGGGACAGGCAGGCGCCACUCCCUGGAGCACCUGGGCGCGGGGGGACCCUCCGUAGUGUCCCCAAGUCACUGGACGCUCAGCCAAGGACCCUCAGCCAGGGCCGCCUCCUGUGACUGGCCCCCUAGGAACCUGAGCCCACCCAGGGUGAAGGCCCCUCCGUGGGAAAGGCCCAGGCGAGGGUCUUUGGGGGGCCACG